UGAAGCUUCACAGAACUGGGGUUUCUUGCAAAAAUAAACCAGGAUCACCUAUACUGAAAUCAAGAGUGAGGUCCAGUGACCUUAGCUGACUCAUCAGGAAGCCUUCACAUCUAUUGGAGAAAGCUUUGCUCAUCAAUUAAGUUCUUAGGAAAGUAAGUAAGCACAAAGGCCACUGAGGCUAUGAUAUGCAGGAAGGAUGAUUGAAGUGUUCUGGUUUGGUUGGAAGACUGAGGUAGCUUGCCAGAGGGAAUUCAUAGGAAACCAGAACACUUUCCCAAAGAGAAGAACUAAAUUGAGGAGCUAGGAAGACUGGACAUUUCCUU
rnacentral:lncRNA from 14 species